GUGCGAAACAGUAAAGCUCUCCUUCGACUCAUUUUCAGCUCAUAAAAGUUUUUUUUUCCUUAAGUUCUGUUUGUUGUGGACUAAUGCUAACAAUGUUUUCUUAAAGGUCUAAAGGAAAUGUUUUCUUCCAACAUAAUAUUCUGUGCAGUGCAGACCUUUUCUUUUGCCUUUUGGUAACUGGCCUAACAGACUUUACAUUUUAUUGAAACAAUUCCUAUGCCAUUAUUAUUGUCAUACGCGUCCGUGUGAAGAGACCACCAAACAGGCUUUGUGUGAACAAUAAAGCUUUUUAAUCACCUGGGUGCAGACGGGCUGAGUCCGAAAGGAGUCAGCGAAGGGAGAUAGGGGUGGGGCCGUUUUAUAGGAUUUGGGUAGGUAGUGGAAAAUUACAGUCAAAGGGGGUUGCUCUCUGGCGGGCAGGGGCAGGGGUCACAAGGUGCUCAGUGGGGGAGCUUCUGAGCCAGGAGAAGGAAUUUCACAAGGUAAUGUCAUCAGUUAAGGCAGGAAUCGGCCAUUUUCACUUCUUUUGUGAUUUCUUCAGUUACUUCAGGCCAUCUGGAUGUAUACGUGCAGGCUUGGGCUCAGAGACCUGACAAUUAAGUUUCGGUUUGCUUAGGGAAAAAACUGAGAUUAAACUUUUUUUAAAUUAAGGUUAUUACAUCUGUAUAUCUAGAAAGAUGUAUGUGCUUCUUAAAGUAUUUGUGACAUUGAGUUACAGGGCUUUGACUCCUGGGUCUAAAAAGGAUACCAAGUCCUGCUAAAUCUUAAACACUGACAGCAAUUAUAGCUUCAUCCUCAGGCGUGGUAGAAGAUGUCAAUCAAAAUAAACUGCAUUCCUGAGACACAGGGCCAGAAAUUAAAGCUAUUCAACUCCUCAAGGCCCAGGGACUAUCGUGGAAGACGUGGACAUGUGAGAUUGUGCUCUUGAGUACAAGUUUCUGAUAACUUUGGAGAUUGUGACAUCAGAAUAGAGGAAAAACUUUUAGGACUCAUGGAGAAGUGAAAUGUUCAUGAACAUCAGGCAGAACAGGAAUUAACUGCAUGGACAGAACUAAUACAAAACUGAGGACAUGAGACUUCACAACCUGCUAAAAAUGAACUUUCCUAAUAACUGGGGACCUACCCGUCUAGGAAUAAACCAUCCUAGCCAUGACAGAUCAGAUGAAACCUGAGACCAGAGACUCAUUUUCUCCUAAAAUGCUUUCUCCAAAAGAUUUUUAAAAAGAAAAGGGGGAAAAUAUGAAUGGAAAAUAAAUCUUGGGGCCCCAACAUCACUAAGCUAAAGGGAAAAGUCAAGCUGGGAACUGCUUAGGGCCAACCUGCCUCCCAUUCUAUUCAAAGUCACCUCUCUGCUCACUGAGAUAAGUGUAUAUCUGACUGCCUCAUUUGGAGAGGCUAAUCAGAAACUCAAAAGAAUGCAACCAUUUGUCUCUUAUCUACCUAUGACCUGGAAACCCCCUCCGCACUUUGAGUUGUCCCACCUGUGAAAGGAAAAUAAAUCUUGGGGCCCCCAAAUCACUAAGCUAAAGGGAAAAGUCAAGCUGAGAACUGCUUAGGGCCAACCAUCCUCUCAUUCUAUUCACAGUCACCCCUCUGCUCACUGAGAUAGAUGCUAUCUGAUUGCCUCCUUUGGAAAGGCUAAGCAGAAACUCAAAAGAAUGCAACUUUCCAUCUCUCACCUAUCUGUGACCUGGAAGCCCAGUCCCUGCUUUGAGUCUUCCUGCCUUUGCUUCAAGCUGUCCCGCCUUUCCAGACCAAACCAAUGUACUUCUUACAUAUAUUGAUGUCUCAUGUCUCAUGUCUCCCUAAAAUGUAUAAAACUAAACUGUGCCCCUACCACCUUGGGCACAUGUCGUCAGGACUUCCUGAGGCUGUGUCAUGGGCACAUCCUCUACCCUGGCAAAAUAAACUUUCUAAAUUAACUGGGACCUACCUCAAAUUAUCUGGGUUCACACGCCUUUGCCUCGAGUUGUCCCACCUUUCCGGACUGAACCAAUGUACAUCUUAACACAUACUGAUUGAUGUCUAAUGUCUCUCUAAAAUGUAUAAAACCAAGCUGUGCUCUGACCACCUUAGGCACUUGUCAUCAGGAUCUCCUGAGGCCAUAUUAUGGGUGCACGUCCUCAACCUUGGCAAAAUAAGCUUUCUAAAUUAACUGAGACGUGUCUCAGAUUUUCGGGAUUCACAAUCUCCACUCUUCACCAAACCUACAAUAAAAAACCCUCAGCUUCUCAGCUUUAACUGUUUCUUCGGGUCUUCAUUUUCUUAUGAAGGUUCAUGUGUCACAUAAAACUUUAAAAAAUUUGUACACUUUUCUCUCAUUAAUCUGUCUUCUGUUAUAGGGCCUCAGCCAUGAACUUGGAAUGGGUAGAUUAAAAAAAAUAUUUUUCCUCCCCUACACAUUUUUUUUUUUUUUUUUGAGACGGAGUCUCAGUCUGUUGACCAGGCUCAAGUGCAAUGGCGUGGUCUUGGCUCACUGCAACCUCUGCCUCCCAGUUUAAGCAAUUAUCCUGCCUCAGCCUCCUGACUAGCUGGGACUACAGGCGCGUGCCACCACACCUGGCUAAUUUUUUUGUAUUUUUAGUAGAGAUCGGGUUUCAUCAUGUUGGCCAGGCUGGUCUUGAACUCCUGACCUCAUGAUCCGCCCGCCUCGGCCUCGCAAAGUGCUGAGAUUACAGGCGUGAGCCACCACACCUGGCCCUCCCCUACACAUUUCUAAGUAUCUUACCUGAUUUUCUAUGGCACCUUUGGGUUGCAGAACCUUAGCUGUAGGAGAAAUGGUGGUGACGGCCAAUGUCUGGCACUGACUUUAACAGAGUACAGAUGUGUAUGUAAAUAGUACUUAUUUUAACAAAAUAGAAAGUUCAAGAAAGAAAUACAGCAACAAAAGUGACAAUUAGAUUGGAAGAGACCCAUUCUUGUUUGCUUGUUUUCUCCAUAAGCCAUCUAGCUUUUUUUUUUUUUUUUGUGAGACGGUCUCACUGUCUCCCAGGCUGGAGUGCAGUGGUGCCAUCACAGCUCACCUCAGCCUUGACCUCCCAGGCUCAAGUGAUCCUCCCACCUUAGCCUCUCAAGUAGCUGGAAGUAUAGGCAUGUACCACCAUGCCCAGCUAAUUUUUUUUUAUUUUUCAUGGAGACAGGGUCUCACUAUAUUGCCCAAGCCAGUCUUGAAUUCCUGGGCUGAAGCGAUCCUCCUGCCUCAGCCUCCCAAAAUGUUGGGAUUAUAGUCAUGAGCUACCAUGCCCAGCCCUAACUCCAUUCUUAAUUGUCACUUAGCCUACACUUUCACUUCAUUGACAUUUAUAGGCUGACAACAAGCAGAUGAAGAUACCAUUGAAACAGUGCCACCACUCACCCAACUGUCCUGUCAGUCAGGAAAAGCACAUCCCCACUGGGUCUCAGAGCUCUCGGCCCGUUGUCUUUGCACUGUGUGACCACACACAAAACCAGGUAAAGUAUUUACCUGCUUUGUUCAGGAGGCUGUCCUUGGCUCUCUAGUUUCUGAUAGGACCCCAUUUUAAACUCUCAAGCCCCCUUGUCCUUGUUCUUUGAUAGUGUCAUAGCCUCUAAACAUAUCACAAUUAUUAAUAUAAUUAAAUACUUAUUUCCCUAUAGAUUUGUUUAAAGCCUGCCUUCCCCCAAGAGAUGGUCAGGUCUGAAGGCAGGUUUGUUACAGAUGACAGGCUCUUGGGCUCAUCAUGUAAUAAAAGUUAACAUGGGGACAAGCAGAUUUCCAGAAAAGGCUUUUAUCUUGGGGCUUGUGCUCGAGUGCAGGGGAGACACCAGAGGUACAAGGACCCUCAAGCUGACUCCCUGAAAAGGUGGUAGGGAUUUUUUUUAUUAGGCAAACACAGGAAUUGGUAUCAUGGGUAGGGUAUGCAGGCUGGCCUGGGCAAAGCACGUGACGGGUAGGGGAUGCUGGUUAGCGUAUCUAGUUGUGAUGGUUAUCUUGAGUAAUGGGCCACCUGGGGGUCUGGCCAGCUGUAACAAGGCUGCAAAUCAAUUGUUCAGGGUUCCUUCCCUUCCCAUGAUGGGACAUUCUGAAACCUCGGUUUGAUGUUUAGAUUUCCUAAGGCCAGUUCCUGGAAUUCUUUUAAGUAAAAGGCAUGAUUAAACAUUAUGAGAGCACAGAAGAAUGGCUAUUUUCUUUGUAAGCCUGAAGCCUUAUCUAAAACCAAUUGUCAGCAAGGCAGGGGUGUGGGUCUUGUGAUCAGUGAGACAAGAAGAAAAAAAAAAACGUGAAAAAGGAACUGAGUUCCUUUUCUAUUCUAUCUGAGGUUACUCCCCACUGCACCCCCGGCACCUGACAUUGUGAGAGGCAUUUGAACCAGAGUGACUCCAUCUUGAAUAGGGGCUGGGUAAAAUGAAUCUGAGACCUACUGGGCUGCAUUCCCAGGAGGUUAGGCAUUCUUAGUCACAGGAUGAGAUAGGAGGUUGGCAGGACUGGUAUCACAAGAUACAGGUCAUAAAAACUCUGACCAUAAAACAAGAUGUGGUAUAGAAGCCAGCCAAAACCAAGAUGGUGAGAAAAGUGACCUCUAGUCAUCCUCACUGCUCAUUAUACUCAAAUUAUAAUGCAUUAGCAUGCUUAAAGAAAUUUCCACUAGCACCAUGACAGCUUACAAAUGCCAUGGCAGUGUUCAGAAGUUACCCUAUAUAGUCUAAAAAGGGGAGGAACCCUCAGUUCCAGGAAUUCCCCACCCCUUUCCCAGAAAACUCAUGAAUGAUCUACCCUUUAUUUAGCAUAUGAUCAAGAAAUAACCAUAAGUAUACCCAGUCAGCAGCGCGUGCCGCUGCUGUGUCUAUGGAGUAGCCAUUCUUUUGUCUCUUUUACUUCUCUAAUAAACUUUAUUCUAUGAAUUUGCCCCCAAAUUCUUUCUUGCGCAAGAUCCAAGAACCCUCUUUUGGGGUCUGGACUGGGACCCCUAUCACCAUGCCUGGCUCAAGAAACAUUUGUUGAGUAAUGAUUUAUAGUGACUUUCUAUGUGCUCAUGUCUCACUCUUGUUCCAGUACCUGUAUGCUAAGCAGCCAUGCUACUGUCCUUCUGUGCUUCCCUACAUUCCAAGUUCAAGGGGACAGGAUGGUUUAUUGUUUCUUAAGUGCUUGUCUUUCUGGUCCUGUUUACAUGCAUCAUUAGCCCACAGGAAAGCACUCUGUUACAAAUGACUUUAGAAAUCACAAUCAUUAAAAUUGAAAACUUCCAUUUAAGCCAGACUACCCCUUUGUGAUGUUAAAAGUGUUGCCUCUGAGCUUCCAACCCCCUCUCUAUGAGGCCUAUUCCAGCUUUUAACCUACCGUGGGUGCGGGCUUUUCAUUUGGAGCCUCUUGUGAUCUUCAAGCUGUAAUUUUCGCAAGCAGGGCCCUAAAGCUCUUUAAUUUUUUUGUUUACCAGAAUUACUCAUUUCAUUUUUGUAUGUGCUUGGUAGAUGAAUUUUCUGUGGCAUCUUACAAAAUAAGGCCAUAAUACCUUAUGGCAUUAAAAAAAAGUUGGGGGGGGAGCAAAACCACCACAAAAAAAUUAACUGAACAAUUAAAAUAUUUAAAUUAGUAUUAGAAAGCUUAAAUGUAGGCAACAACUAAGUCAUCUCAAGCACAUUCAACAGGAAAAAGUAGAAAACAUACUAGAUAAGAACGUCAGAGAAUGGGGCAAGGACUGGGGGAGGUGAAGGAGGUGCAGAGCUGGAUCCUGUCUUUAUUUGAAAAUUUGAUUUUGUGUUCAAAUGUGAAUUAUUUCAUUUUGAUUUUUUUUUUUUUUUUUUUUGAGACGGAGUCUUGCUCUUGUCGCUCAGGCUGGAGUGCAAUGGUGCAAUCUCAGCUCACUGCAACCUCCGCCUCCCGGGCUCAAGCAAUUCUCCUGCUUCAUCCUCCCAAGUAGCUGGGAUUACAGGCACGGGCCACCAUGCC
rnacentral:lncRNA from 10 species